CCCAUGCUACUCCUAGCUCACUUAG
rnacentral:tRNA from 1 species